CGACUUCGGCAUCGCUGUGAAACAGACGUAACUACGGCACUGUUGUUUAAGUGGUUGUCCGCAAGUAGAUUCCUGUGUGUUCUGUGUUGUAAUCCUAUAUCAUCCAACCUUGGAGAUUGGAUUACCAAACCGAAGACUGAUGUAAAAUUUUAUAAAGUUCUUGUAAGAACUACCUACAAACGACGGACAACCACAAAAGUGAACAUCGGGGCCUCAUGGAUUUUUAAUCCAGGCCGCCACAAAAAGGUGGCAAAAGAAAAA
rnacentral:lncRNA from 1 species